GGCAAGAGCUGCAGGUCCGUUCAGACGCUGUAGUGUCGCGCUCGCGCUUUUUAGUGUCGCAACGCAAAGCGCGUCUCAGCGUCGUUUGGUGCGGUCGGAGCCAGGUUUAAAUCCUCCCGGCUAUCUUGUCACUCCGACUACAGGCUUGGCGCGGAAAGUUUGAUUUCCUUUAGUUCUGCGCAGGCCUGAACUUUCUGAGCCACAGAUAGCGAUUUGGUUGAGAAAGGAUCUGCAGACUGAGCGCAGGCACGCGGCGCGCUCUUACAUCCUGCUGCAAAUCAAACGAGUGCGAGUCGUCCUAGUUGAACCCAGCUAUGAUGUAAGUCAGAUCUUCCAGUGGCUGGUGGCCAGUGCCGACUGGGACAGCUUCCAGCCUCAGAGGACUGCGAUUAACCCAGGAGCGGUCAAACUCGGCAGGACGCCCUCCACAACCAGCCACAGCUAUUUAUCCACUUUCCAAUGAAACCAAUUACUUUUACAGCAAGCCCCAGCGCCAACAUUAUAUGUGUUGUUCUUGCAGACCAAAAGAGUAUGGCUUUGAAAAGAGAGCCAGGCAUGAAGUAGGAAACCCUCCUGAGCUGCUCCAGCAGGCUGUAAAAUAUACCUAAAGUCAGUAUCCAUGGAGACUAGCUGGUGUGUGAGAGCAGCCUGAAGGAUACACGUGGAUAUUAUUACUAUUGCUAUUUACUGUUCUUUGUCUUUUACUUGUUAUUGUAGAGUGUUAGUUUUUACACAGUUUCCUCUGGGAUUAAUACAUGAUUCCGAUUCUGAGUAAUAGUGUUGGAGUUGCUACAAAUUUCCUUCAUGUAGCUACCAGAAGAAAUGUUUUUAAUGUAAAUCUGCUUACACCUUGCUUAUAUUUAUUUAUAUGUUUUACAAUGUGCUUAUUGCAGGACAUCACAGCUUUUAACAAAUUCUGAUAUUUUAGCUUCUUUUUUGAAAAUUAAAUUUCAACAGUUGUAAAAGUCACAGCAUGUUAACUUCAUAGAACUUUUUCAGUCAUUUUCAUCUUCUUUUCACUAUGAAAAUGACCUUGCAGAAACAGAGGGAAAUGCAAGCGCAAGGGCUUUUCUACAAAAAUUGUAUAAGAAAAAUCUAGAAAACAUCCAGUUAUUGUUUGACACAUUAAGGACGCAUUACUUCUUCCAUUAACAUUGAGCUGUGUAAGUGUAAAUGUUCAUUUUACUACUGCUACUCAAGCAAGUUUCAGUCUGAUUUUCACAGAUGCAAGAUCUCGAGCCAAUUAACUUUAAUUUAUAAUUAUUAUAAUUUAAUAUUAAUAAAAAUAUGAUUUUAUCAUUUUAUAAUUUUUAUUUGUUAUGUUAAAAUUUCUUCUCUGUUUUCAGAGUCAAGUGAUUAUAUGACUCACAAAUGCACAGAAAAUACUGCAACCAACACUGCAAAGUGCUGACAAACACAGUAAACCAAAUAGCUUAUAUAAUACAAACCAACCACAAUGGUUGCCCAGGGUAACAUGUUCACAUUGCUUUUGGCAACUGACUUGCUCUGAAAAAUACCCAAAGAUGUUGAGUGCACUGCAGUCUUACAAAUGUUAACUUCUGAGAAUCUGUGACUAAAGAUCAUUUCUGCUUUGUUUGGUGCUGAUUAGCAUUUUCCUUUACUGCUGAACGAAAAUCUAAUGAAGCUCCAUUUAAGGCUUUUGGAGGGCUUUUCUUGACAUUAGAAUCCACAGGCUAACAGUAAAAUGAGGGGGCAUAUUUUUUGAAUUAUGUUGACAAGGUUGUUUUUUUUCUGCAUCUGUCCAAUAAAUGUCAUGUUAAAGUGUUGUUAUUAGGUUACUAGUCGUAAGUAAGGAAAGGACGAGGACAGCAGACUCAGUUAAUAAAGCAGUCAUAUCACUGAUCGCUGGCUGGGCUAAUUGACAGACACAUGAAGAGAAAACUACUAAUUGAUUAUAGGCUUGUCCUAUUCUAGCGCAGGAGGUGACUGAUGGAAAAUGUGAAUUGGCCUGAGAGAUGCUUUAUGCCUAUGUCUACAUUUGGAUUUCUGUUUCGAUGAAAAACUUUCUGCACAGUGCUUUCUGCUUGAAAUUUCUACGUUCUUUAAGGUGCAAUAAAAAAAGUGGUGGUUUUUAUAGUUAUUUGUGUGUCUUGACAGUUGUGCUGUCACUUAGCAGAGGGUCUCCAGGCUUUCUAAUACAGUCCCACUGAGCUUAUAUCCAAAAGAAGUAUUUACUUUUAACCAAGUGAAGCCUGAACCAUGAAAUGUUUUUUUGAAACUGGGAUGUUUACUGAGCCUUCUGACCAAUAAAAAAUAAAUAAAUAAAUGAAAUAUCAGUUUACAUAUAUGAGCAUUGAUUUGCAUAAAUUCUGCUACAUCUGACUGUAUACAUCAGGCUUUUCAGGAAAAAUUAUACUAAGUAGGGGUCCCACAAACCCAUGUAUAAAACACGAUACUCUUGGCUUUACAGGAUCAGCUUUUCUAUUCUAAUCUGGUUUGAAUGUAGAGAACAGUGUAACUGCACAGCAUGGCCAUCACUGCCUGUCUACCUCUGAGCUGAACCAGUGAGGACAAUCCCUAAGAAAAUGUUAAGGAUUAUGACAUUUAAAUUGUGUUUUUGUUUUCUUAUAGUUUAAAUUAUUGUUAACACGCUCAUCUUUGCUAGAUAGUUCAGGCAGUAUCCAAUGUCACAGACAUUAAACUGAUGGCCAAGAAACAUUACAGACAUUAGCACAAUUUUGCCUUUAGUAACAUUUUGCUCACUGUGACGCAAUGUUUUGGAAGGAUGUUCAAACAAUACUCAUUCAAUCACACAAUUUUUUACCAGAAACGACCAUGAUUUACAUUUCAGGAACGUCUCGCACAUUUAACAAACUUUUCUGUAAACACUUUUUAAUUCUUUUUUUCUAUUAAAUUAUUGCAAUUCAUAAAGAUUUCAGGUACAUAUUUGCUUUGUUUACACUGGACUGUUAUCUCUCUUGAAGAAUUUGGCAUGCUAUGACCCACAGAGCACUACACCCGAGCAUAUAUGCAAUGGUCUUAGUUACCAUGAAACAAUGUACCAUGUAGAGUUGUAU
ensembl:lncRNA